UACGUAGGGUGCGAGCGUUGUCCGGAAUUAUUGGGCGUAAAGAGCUCGUAGGCGGUCUGUUACGUCUGCUGUGAAAACCCGGGGCUCAACCCUGGGCUUGCAGUGGAUACGGGCAGACUAGAGGCAGGUAGGGGAGAAUGGAAUUCCCGGUGUAGCGGUGAAAUGCGCAGAUAUCGGGAGGAACACCGGUGGCGAAGGCGGUUCUCUGGGCCUGACCUGACGCUGAGGAGCGAAAGCGUGGGGAGCGAACAGG
rnacentral:rRNA from 1 species